rnacentral:lncRNA from 1 species
CAUGUGCCAGCCCUUCCCUCCCUCUGCCAACACACUCUGCUUCCACAAGAAAAAUAUGCCAGCAUGUAUGACAAAAUCUGCAAAGGAAGGCGAGUGUGGACAAGUGGCACAAGACCCUGAAGCAAUGAAACAGAAGCUUCCUAAACCUUAACUGAAGGUGUGGGCACUGCUGGAUGGAUGAAAUCAAAGUCUCUGGAAAGCAAAAGAAAACCCAAAAAACAAAGGAGUUUAAAGACCUGAAACUUCUGCGAUAUCAACAUGUUCAGAAGCAAUUUCUGUUCAAAGUUCACAGCACUGCAGAGCAAUCUGAUUCUUAUCCAUUUUGAGUCACUACCCAUUGCCCCCAGCAUUGUCUGCAUAGAAACAAGCUGUUUUUAACGGGGCUGAGCCAAUGCUGAGGAACUCCACCCUUCCUCUGAGCGAGCACGUUACAAGAACCUGAAUGAGCCUCUCUCUCUUUGACAGAUCAGGCACUUACUGCUUAAUUACACAGAUGAGUAACACCAAUGAACGGCUGCUUUUUCUUGGGAGUUUGUUACAGGGGAAUGGAUGCGAAUUAGGCUGUAGAACAAAACAACUGUGGUGUAAAUAGCGUAAUUGCUGUCUUCUCGUCUGUGGCAAUCAAUGAGCUGUUGAGGCAUUUUACACGGCUGCCACGAG